GGUUGGGGAUCAGCCUGACAUUGUUGGGUGUACUUCCUGGUUGACGGGCCAACAUCAGUUUUGAUUGCCAGAAAAAGGCCAAAGGAAUGUGGCACCUUUGGGUGUGUUAUAGCCCUUGGUCGUAUAUGGUGGUUGGGACUGAGGAAAGCAGCGUGCCGAAAGGCCGGGUUUCGACCACGUUCACGCUGAGGAUGUUGGCAUAAUGGCUUUAAGCGACCCGUCUUGAAACACGGACCAAGGAGUCUAACAUGCAUGCGAGUGUUUGGGUGGAAAACCCUUACGCGUAAUGAAAGUGAAAGUUGAGAUCCCUGUCGUGGGGAGCAUCGACGCCCGGACCAGAACUUUUGGGACGGAUCUGCGGUAGAGCACGUAUGUUGGGACCCGAAAGAUGGUGAACUAUGCCUGAAUAGGGUGAAGCCAGAGGAAACUCUGGUGGAGGCUCGUAGCGAUUCUGACGUGCAAAUCGAUCGUCAAAUUUGGGUAUAGGGGCGAAAGACUAAUCGAACCAUCUAGUAGCUGGUUCCUGCC
rnacentral:rRNA from 1 species